rnacentral:rRNA from 1 species
UACUCGAGUGGCGAACGGGUGAGUAACACGUGGGUGAUCUGCCCUGCACUCUGGGAUAAGCCUGGGAAACUGGGUCUAAUACCGGAUAGGACCAUGCUUUAGUGUGUGUGGUUGAAGGUUUUUUCGGUGUAGGAUGAGCCCGCGGCCUAUCAGCUUGUUGGUGGGGUAAUGGCCUACCAAGGCGGCGACGGGUAGCCGGACUGAGAGGUUGGUCGGCCACAUUGGGACUGAGAUACGGCCCAG